rnacentral:rRNA from 1 species
GACGAACGCUGGCGGCGUGCUUAACACAUGCAAGUCGAACGGAAAGGCCCCUUUGGGGGUACUCGAGUGGCGAACGGGUGAGUAACACGUGAGUAACCUGCCCUUGCCUUCGGGAUAACUUCAGGAAACUGGGGCUAAUACCGGAUAGGAAUCCUUGCUGCCUGGUGGGGGUUGGAAAGCUUCUGCGGUUUUGGAUGGACUCGCGGCUUGUCAGCUUGGUGGUGGGGGAGUGGCUUACCAAGGCUUUGACGGGUAGGCGGCCUGAGAGGGCGACCGGCCACAUUGGGACUGAGAUACGGCCCAGACUCCUACGGGAGGCAGGAGUUGGGAAUAUUGCACCAUGGGCGGAAGCCUGAUGCAGCAACGCCGCGUGCGGGAUGACGGCCUUCGGGUUGUAAACCGCUUUCAGCAGGGGCGAAGCUUGUGGUGACGGUACCUGCAGAAGAAGCACCGGCUAACUACGUG